rnacentral:rRNA from 1 species
GUCUGCAACUCGACUACAUGAAGCUGGAAUCGCUAGUAAUCGCGAAUCAGAAUGUCGCGGUGAAUACGUUCCCGGGUCUUGUACACACCGCCCGUCACACCAUGGGAGUCGGAUAUGCCCGAAGUCAGUGACCCAACCAUAUGGAGGGAGCUGCCGAAGGUGGAGCCGAUAACUGGGGUGAAGUCGUAACAAGGUAGC